AAAUUGAAGAGUUUGAUCAUGGCUCAGAUUGAACGCUGGCGGCAGGCCUAACACAUGCAAGUCGAACGGUAACAGGAAGCAGCUUGCUUCUUUGCUGACGAGUGGCGGACGGGUGAGUAAUGUCUGGGAAACUGCCUGAUGGAGGGGGAUAACUACUGGAAACGGUAGCUAAUACCGCAUAACGUCGCAAGACCAAAGAGGGGGACCUUCGGGCCUCUUG
rnacentral:rRNA from 1 species